ensembl:lncRNA
CUCGUGUCACGUGACUUCGUUCAGCGUUCAGAAUGGAGAAAGGAAACCGCUGAUUUUCUAUUUUCAAUUGUAAACGGGAAAGGAGAAUGGAAAACGGAAACUGCUGUUUUUCAAUGUUCAAUUGUAAAAGGAGAAAAGGACACGGGACUAUCGAAAAACGGGCCAAUUUGGAUUUGUUUUAUGGUUUUUUGAUUAAAACGGUUUUCUUGUUUUUUGUUUGAAAAAGAGAGGAAGAAAAACGGUUAUUUAAUUUUGGUUUACAGAUGAAUUUGGGAUUAUCCAAUGAUACCCAGACCGUUACAGCAAGCUGAAGACCCAGGCCCCUGAGCUGAAGUGCAUCAAGGUAGAUGAGGCCCUCGAGCUGGUCGGGAUAGACUUGAUUGAUUAUUACACCAAGUUUGUGGACUUCUAAAGGACAAAACAGCAGCUGGUGUAGCUAACUGCAUCAGGACCUUUGUGUGCAGAUGGGGAGCUCCUAAUUGCCUUCUUUCAGACCAGGGUUGAGAAUUUGUGGCUGAGAUCAACACUGAGGUCUGUAGAUCUCUCAACAUUAGUAGAUCAGUCACCGGUGCCUUCCACCACCAGACAAACGGGUUGGAUGAGAGAACCAACCAGACCCUGAAGAUGUGGUUCAGCAAGCUGGUCAACGAGCAUCAGACAGACUGGGAUAGCUUCCUAGAGGAUGUGGCGUACUCCGUCCGCGCCAGGAAGCAGGUCACCACGAAGUAUUCCCCUUUCUUUCUAAUGUUUGGUCGCCACCCAAGGCCCACCCAUGAGAUGGGCUCAGGGGAUGAACCAGACGAGGGGUUGCCCACAGCUCCCGAGGUCAACCUUGAUGAGAUGGUGGCCCGACGACAGGAAGUCAAGGCUGUGGCAAAGAUGAACUCUGAGAAAGCUCAGGAGAAGCAAAAGGAGACAUACAAAUGACACAAGGCGAAAGGAGUGAAGACUUUCUCCUUUUCCAACGGAGACAUCAUCCUGCGUAGAGUUAUGAAAAAUGCUGUGCGUAAGGGUGGUAAAAUGGAGUCUCUUUGGACUGGCCCGUACAGGUAUAUAAAGGCUGGGUUAUUGCCCCCACUUGGUUAGCUGCUUCACAACUGGUGUUAUGCUACCAUUCCCUGCCUCAUCCAAGCCACGUAAAAACACUGCAAUUACUGUCACUGCCGUAUACCGUACAACAGCAAUCAAAUUAUGAUUGACGUCUGCAAAGGCUGGUUCCACCGUGACUCUCAGAAGGUCCCCUGAGUAGUAACCGAAUCGACAAAGUUCCUACGUUGGUUUUGUGAAGAGGAUAGUGGCUAAAAAAAACAUGUUUUUUAGAACGUAUUCUAUGCUGUUCUUUUAUUGUUACAUGCAUUGUGUUUGGAUUGCAAAAAAAUACAUGUUUUAUAAUAUAUUCUAUGCAGUUUUUAAAAAUUAUUAUUGCAUGUAUUGUGUUUGUACAAAAGAAAUAUGUUUUAUAAUGUAUUCUAUGCAGUUUUUUAAAAUUAUUACAUGUAUUGCGUUUGUAUUAAAAAAAAAAAUUAUAAUUUAUUCAAUGCAGUUUUUUUUUAAUUUUUACAUGUAUUCUGUUUGGAUAAAAUAAAGCACAUGUGGGGAAAAAACA